rnacentral:lncRNA from 1 species
UUGAAUGGAAGUAAUCUAAGGAUUUUGGUUGAGAGGAUUUUGGAGAGUUUGCUUUUAUUUAUAAUGUUAAAAGAAAAUUAAUUUUGAAAAUUUAUAAUUUGUAUUGACAAAGGAUUUUGGAGGGUUUGCAUAAAUUUUUCAAUUAUAUUUUAUAUUAUUAUAAUAUUUUGAAAAUUAAAAAUAUAGUAAUGAUGAACACUCUUU